UGGUAAGAUUAAUUUGAAGUUUUUGUACAAUUUGGAAGGAAAGGGGAAAAGAGUUUUAAUUGACUGGUGUGUAAAUGAGGGUUUACUUGUAUAUAAUUAGUGUCCUGUUUGUAGGAAGGAAAUACGUACGGUUGAACGUCGAAGGAUACCGGCAAUACGGAGGAUAAUUUUGACUCUUAUUUUUGUGAAUUUAUGUGGCGUCGCCAGUAUACAGAUUCUAGUUUAGAUAAUGUUAAGAAGUUUUUGGAAGAUUAAGGAAUUUUGUUUGACUGAAGAAAGGGAAAUUUCUAAGUAAAAUACUUUACUUUUCCUCCACACGAUGAGAUUUCGAGAGAAAGAAGAUGCCGGGCAAAUUAUCCAUAAAACAGAUUGUCGGUCAAACACUUGAACAAAAAUUGGGGUACAAACUGGGGUGAUAAUGGAUACAUCAAAAUGGUCAGCAACAAAAACAAUCAAUAUAAAAUUGCAGCAAAGACCAGUUUCCCAAGAAUGUGAUUGUCGUCUGAAUAAGAAUAAUUUGAAAAUAAAUUUUAUCUACAUUAGCCUUCCUGAAAUCUUUAUAAGAAACUCCCAUUUACCAUGAAAAAUAAAAUAUCUACUAUACCUUCAAAGUUUUAUAUACUUUUAUUUUAAAGUGGAUCAACUUUGUGCAGAGGCAAUUUCUUAGGUUUAUUAAAGAUUUUUUAUCAGCAGAAAAUGAGUUUCGAUAGGUGGCUAUUGCCUAAGCUACAUAAAAGAAUGUGCUGUCAAUUUAAUGAAUUUGUGAAUAUUUGUAUAAGACAUCGUUUCUUUUUAAUAGUUUUGUGAAUGAACUCAACCUUGUACUCAACAUUGCUGCCAGGGAAAAAAAAAAAAAAAAAAAAAAUACGCAUAAAAGGAAAAUAAAUUGCUCUUAAUGACUUUCUAUGGGACAUAUUGACAUAAUCAAAUAUUGUUCCAAUAGAAAUUUUAAUUUAGAAAAAAUAUAAAUGCUUACAUACAAAAGUUUACAAAUCUUUUAACGAAACUUUGAAAGUGAAAAUAAGCAAUUCAAUUUAUGUUGAACACUAGAUAGCAGCACGAGGAAGU